rnacentral:ncRNA from 15 species
CGAUCGGUAAUCUUGGGGGAAAGUAGGGUGAAAGUCCUACGCUGUGCCGCAGCCGUUACAGCCGGAAUGCCUCAUGAAUUCUACCUUUAGCCCUGUUUCCUGCGUAGCACAUGGAAGGAGAAA